UUACUCCAUUAUGGAGAAAUUAAUAAAGAAAAAAAAUAUUACUCUACAAAAGAAAAAGAAAGAAAGAAAAAGUAAACAAGACUAAUUCUUAUAUAUUGCUUAUGUUGUUGGAUGCUUAACAAUCACAAAAAAUGCCUCUAUUUAUAGAAAAUUAUAAUGUUGAACCAAUGAAUGCAUUCUUUGAAGUGGUCGUCAUGACGGUCAAUUGUAACUCUUCUCAAAACGCUCACUUGUUUCAUUUCUUCAUUUGACGGGUGUGAGAAGCUUUUGAAGUGGUCGUUGUGACUGUCAACUUGUAACUCUUCUCAAAACGCUCACUUGUUUCAUUCCUUCAUUUGAUGGCUGUGAGUAUAAAAUUGUGGUUACACCCGUGGAAUUCUCUUAUUCUUUGAUAAUUUAUUUCUUCUCUUGUAUUCUUCUUCCUGUAGAAUUUGUCAGAAAAUAUACAAUAAUAUGAUAUAUUUAUUUAUAUUUAUUUAAAAUAAUUAAUAUUUAAUAUAUAAAAAUAUAUAAAUAAAUAUAUACAUCAAAUACCCCCACACCUGAAUCUUUAUUCGUCCUCGAGCAAAGGACAAAACAAAACAACUAAAAUUUUAAGUAAUGAAAUUAUUAGAUAGAAUAAAAUUCAAUAAAGAC
rnacentral:lncRNA from 1 species